rnacentral:tRNA from 1 species
GCAUGUAGCUCAGUGGUAGAGUUGCUUAGCAAGUGCAAGUCCCUAGGUUCAAAUCCUAGCACUGCA